UAUUUUACGUACCUUGCCAGUGCUUGUGGUGAGUACUAUUAAUCCCUUGUUGCAAAUAAAAUAAAGAUAUAUAGGGCAAAUUAAUCCCCUGUGCAAUUACCGUAUAUUUCGAGGGUUUUCGUGGAAAGACCGUUGGAAAUGUUUCCGCAAAUUUAACUUCGCUGAUUUAAAUCCCACUUUUCAUGGGCUAACUAGAGCUACAUCAACAUUAUUUAGAAUAAACCUUUGAAGUGGCCAUUACUAAAAUAUGAUUCUUCUGUCCAUCUAAAAAACCUACCCACAGGUUUCUAUUUAGUGUUGAUUACAUUAUCUCCAGUCACAGUGCUUUAAAUAACGUAAUGCACAAUACAUGAGACAUUGAUAUGGAUUCAAAUGUAGCCAAGAAAAAAAGUUACGCUGUACACGUCAUGGCAGGCUGUACGCGACAUGGUAGGCUGUACACAACGUUCGAGAUAAGAUAAAGUGACAGCACUAAAUCUUUUGGAACACACCUAGCUAAGAUAAAUUGUUUUAAUACGGUGCACUAUGAUGGGUUCUCUGUUACAAUAACACACUUGACGUUAACCUCAAGUUCAUCCUCGGCUCACACAUUAAAACACUUAAUUAACAAGAGAAUUUGAAGAGUGUCAAACUACCAAUAGCUCUAUACGUAAACACUGUGCACAAAGUAACACUCGCACGUGGAUGAAGUAUCGUAAAAUUACUAGUAAUCAGCUAGUAAAUGCAACAGCGAACAAUGACAUCAUGAAAUUCUGUGCAUGUGCAUGACGUAUAACGGAUGCGGAAACGUCAUCAAUUGCGAUUUGCUCGCAUGCAAAAUAGUCUAGGAAAGUGCUGAGUUAGCAUGAUUGGAUUGCAUCCGGAUUUUGCGUGAGUGUGCGUAUAUAUGUGGGUACGAGUGUAUGCAUGUGUAUGAGUUUGAAGGUAUUCCUCAGACAAGCAAUUGUUAGGAUAUCACGUUACUUUAUGCGCAUGCAGUUUUCGUAUAGGGGUAUGGUUAAUCUUGGCUGGGUGCAUGUGUUCAGAAAACUGUAAACCCUUACCUAUUAUUUAUUCGAUAUUUAUUGGGUGCCGUUUGUGUCAAAACUGCAUGUUUAAUGUAUGUGAAAAUCCACUCGCUGUAUUCGGUCUCCCAAUUUUAAUAAAUCAGGCUCACAAAUUAAUAAUAAAUAUAGCAUUAUGGGUGUGGCAUUAAUAAGCAUGAGCCUGAAUUUAGUAAAGCGGGAGGCCGAUUUACUAAAGCGUGAGCCUGAUUUAGUAAAUCGGGAUACAGUGAAGUGGAUUUUGAUGUAUAUUGAACAGGCAGUUUUGACACAAACGGCACCCCAUAGUUAUUUAGUCGUGAACGUGUGCCCUGCAUUAGCUGUGUUCAUCAGAGAGCGCACAAAGUUGCUAAAAUCGAGGCAUGUAUAUAAUUUCUCGCUCGUGUUUUGGCGCCCCCCCUCACCCAAACAUGUAUGGGGGAUCUUAAAACCGGCGUUCAAAGGGGCCUGUGCCCCUCGCCUUAAGGUUUCAGCACCCCGAGAUGUCAUUGUGAGGGUGUACGCUGAUAUAGGUGUCGUACUGCAGUUCCAAGAGUACGCCGAAAACAUUAAGAAUCUCAUACACAUUCUGGCCAUUAUGGAGGGAUUUCACUGGGUGUGGCUGGAUUGGGUUACCAAUGGGGGAAAAAGGGGGCAAAAUGUUACAGAAAUCUGUAUAUUAUACGUGAAUCGGGUGAGGUAGCAGAGAUUGAAAUUUUAAUGAGAAUCAUUCGGCAGAUAAAGGUUAACUGAGUUAGGGGUUUUGAAUACCGACAUAUUUUCACAGGUAGAUUUGUUUGCGUUUUCACUGUUUAGCUGGUAUUAAAUUCUGCUAAAUCCUGCUCAAGUUGUGAAACUUCAUAGCGUUCUAUGUACUCGCAAGUGGUUUUAAUGAGAGGAUUCAUUGCAUUUUCCAAUUAUCUGCGAGUACAAAUGUUUGCGAUUUUACUCUCAUUCGCAGAAAUAGCAGAAAUUAAUACUCGCGAAAAUAUGUAAGAUAAUCCGACAUUGUGUAUAUAGUAUGGCUUCUUAGCUGUAUAAGUCAUUCCUGGGAGUGUAUGAUUAGUCGCUUCUGCACAUCACUAAUUGACCACUAAUUGAUAUUGACUGUGGCUCAUGCCUAUAGCAACUACACUUCCUCAGGUUUACUAUACAUCCAGCUAAUAAACUUACUAAACAUGAUUUUUUAACAUAUACAUCCUCGAUCAAGCAUGCAUGUUGUAUAAGCGGGUAAUUUUCGUUGAUGCAAAUGUUAGUAUGAAACAUUCGUGUCCCUCGUACGGAUUACCAUAGAUACACGAGUAUCUAUGCUCAUACGUGCAAUUAGAUAGAAUGCAAUUAGCCUCUGAUUGAACUCGGCAAUAACGUUGUAUGUGGGAGGAUAAUUAGUGUUUAAUCAGAGACUAAUUGCUGACUACACCAUACCUGACGUACCUCCUCUGCAUGGUGGAGUACAACCUAGUGUGGUAGAAUAAUUUCGCAGUUUUACUUUUCGGAUGAUGCUCUACUAUACGAAAACUCUGAAAGAACCUGCUAUACGGUAUACAAUUCAUGGGUUUUUUAGCAUGAUUCUCUGCUAAACACACUCUAGUGAAUCACACAAUGCACAUGGUCACAUGCACCCAGUUCGGAAACCUUUUCCCAGUGGCUUACUGGAAUACCGGAAGAACCUAAUCACUGCAGUACUGGUUUAGGUUCUCAAUAGCCUCGAUUCCAGGCCGCUCUCAAUUGAGAAAGGGCUGCAUGGGAUCGAGGCUAAGUUCUGCAUGUAGACCAGCCCCUCCCCUUACUUAAAAGAAGACUUUUAAGCAACCACAUGUAGAUAUAACCAUCAAGGUGCCUUUCUUUCACUGCACUCAUUGUCGGUUUUACCUGUGACUAUUUCUAUGGAGGCUGUAAGAACUGAAUGUGCCCCUUUCUCCACUUCAACAACUACAAUAUUGCUGUCGCUGUACCGAAAGGGUAUGACAGGUUGGGGCAAAAAAGCAACCAUUCCUGGAAAUGGCAAAGGACCGUACAGGCCUCAACGAGAAGCAGAUAAGGAACUGGAUACGCCGAGAAAACAUGAAAAUUAAGCAUGGUGGCAUUGAUGCGGAUGAAUCUGGUCCCUCUGAUCAGUACAACAUUCCGAAGAAGUCAAGCGGGCCAUGGCACCAAUUUCUAAAAGAGUACGGAAAAUCUGAAGGUGGAAAGAGUGCCAUUGCAACCGCUGGAAAUCCAGGUGUUUUUAACAAGGAAGCCAGUGAAGCUUAUAAUAACUUGUCUAGCGAUGAGAAACAAGCUCUGAGAGAACGUUCUGAAACGAAUGAGCGACUCUCCCAUAAAGGUGUCCUAAAAGAAGCUGAGAAACGUUUUGGGAAGAUUCAGAAGCUGGUAUGUUAAU